rnacentral:rRNA from 1 species
GGUGCUUGCAUCAUGAUUUACAUUUGAGUGAGUGGCGAACUGGUGAGUAACACGUGGGAAACCUGCCCAGAAGCGGGGGAUAACACCUGGAAACAGAUGCUAAUACCGCAUAACAACUUGGACCGCAUGGUCCGAGCUUGAAAGAUGGCUUCGGCUAUCACUUUUGGAUGGUCCCGCGGCGUAUUAGCUAGAUGGUGGGGUAACGGCUCACCAUGGCAAUGAUACGUAGCCGACCUGAGAGGGUAAUCGGCCACAUUGGGACUGAGACACGGCCCAAACUCCUACGGGAGGCAGCAGUAGGGAAUCUUCCACAAUGGACGAAAGUCUGAUGGAGCAACGCCGCGUGAGUGAAGAAGGGUUUCGGCUCGUAAAACUCUGUUGUUAAAGAAGAACAUAUCUGAGAGUAACUGUUCAGGUAUUGACGGUAUUUAACCAGAAAGCCACGGCUAACUACGUGCCAGCAGCCGCGGUAAUACGUAGGUGGCAAGCGUUGUCCGGAUUUAUUGGGCGUAAAGCGAGCGCAGGCGGUUUUUUAAGUCUGAUGUGAAAGCCUUCGGCUCAACCGAAGAAGUGCAUCGGAAACUGGGAAACUUGAGUGCAGAAGAGGACAGUGGAACUCCAUGUGUAGCGGUGAAAUGCGUAGAUAUAUGGAAGAACACCAGUGGCGAAGGCGGCUGUCUGGUCUGUAACUGACGCUGAGGCUCGAAAGUAUGGGUAGCAAACAGGAUUAGAUACCCUGGUAGUCCAUACCGUAAACGAUGAAUGCUAAGUGUUGGAAGGGUUUCCGCCCUUCAGUGCUGCAGCUAACGCAUUAAGCAUUCCGCCUGGGGGAGUACGGCCGCAAGGCUGAAACUCAAAGGAAUUGACGGGGGCCCGCACAAGCGGUGGAGCAUGUGGUUUAAUUCGAAGCUACGCGAAGAACCUUACCAGGUCUUGACAUACUAUGCAAAUCUAAGAAGAUUAGACGUUCCCUUCGGGGACAUGGAUACAGGUGGUUGCAUGGGUUGUCCUCCAGCUCCUGUCCUGGAAAAGUUUUGGGUAAAUUCCCCCCACCAAGCGCCACCCCUUAUUAAUCAUUUUCCCACCA